AUGGAGCAAGAGUUACAAUCUAGAAAAGAUUCGAAUUUUGAUAUACUAUCAUGGUGGAAGGUCAAUCAAGUUGAGUUUCCUAUUCUGUCACGACUUGCUCGAGAUAUCUUAUCUAUGCAAGUGUCGACGGUUGCCUCGGAGUCGGCAUUCAGUGCUGGUGGGCGGGUUGUGGACCCAUUUCGUGGUCGUCUUGAACCUGAAACCGUCGAAGCUUUAAUUUGUACUAAAAGUUGGAUUGGAGCAUCAAAAGGUAGUGACAUUGCAUCUGUUGUCAAAGACAUGGACAUGCCAAGCUUGGAGGAACGUUUUACAACUUUGGUGCACAUGUUGGAGGAGCCACAAGAGGAUGAUAGUGAUGAUGACAUGGAAGACUUCAUGGAUGAGGAAAUGGAGGAUUGA
rnacentral:rRNA from 1 species